CUUGGUCAUUUAGAGGAAGUAAAAGUCGUAACAAGGUCUCCGUAGGUGAACCUGCGGAGGGAUCAUUACAGAGUUCAUGCCCUUCGGGGUAGAUCUCCCACCCUUGUGUAUUUAUACCUUUGUUGCUUUGGCAGGCCGCUCGGCUCACGCCUAGCUACUGGCUCCGGCUAGUAAGUGUCUGCCAGAGGAAAUCAAACUCUGAAUUUUAAUGUCGUCUGAGUACUAUAUAAUAGUUAAAACUUUCAACAACGGAUCUCUUGGUUCUGGCAUCGAUGAAGAACGCAGCGAAAUGCGAUAAGUAAUGUGAAUUGCAGAAUUCAGUGAAUCAUCGAAUCUUUGAACGCACAUUGCGCCCCUUGGUAUUCCGAGGGGCAUGCCUGUUCGAGCGUCAUUACAACCCUCAAGCUCUGCUUGGUAUUGGGCAUCACCCGCAAGGGCGUGCCUUAAAAUCAGUGGCGGUGCCAUCUGGCUCUAAGCGUAGUAAUACUCCUCGCUAUAGUGUCUUGUGGUGACUUGCCAACAACCCUAAUUUUUUUUUAUGGUUGACCUCGGAUCAGGUAGGGAUACCCGCUGAACUUAAGCAUAUCAAUAAGCGGAGGAAAAGAAACCAACAGGGAUUACCUCAGUAACCGGCGAGUGAAGCGGUAACAGCUCAAAUUUGAAAUCUGGCUCUUUCAGGGUCCGAGUUGUAAUUUGUAGAAGAUGCUUCGGGUGUGGUCCCGGUCUAAGUUCCUUGGAACAGGACGUCAUAGAGGGUGAGAAUCCCGUAUGUGACUGGGUACCUAUGCUCAUGUGAAGCUCUUUCGACGAGUCGAGUUGUUUGGGAAUGCAGCUCAAAAUGGGUGGUAAAUUUCAUCUAAAGCUAAAUAUUGGCCAGAGACCGAUAGCGCACAAGUAGAGUGAUCGAAAGAUGAAAAGCACUUUGGAAAGAGAGUUAAACAGUACGUGAAAUUGUUGAAAGGGAAGCGCUUGCAACCAGACUUGCACGUUGUUGAUCAUCCGAGAUUUUUCCCGGUGCACUCGAUUUCGUUCAGGCCAGCAUCGGUUUCAGUGGUUGGAUAAAGGCCUUGGGAAUGUAGCUUCUUUCGGGGAGUGUUAUAGCCCUCGGUGCAAUGCAGCCUACUGGGACCGAGGACCGCGCUUCGGCUAGGAUGCUGGCGUAAUGGUUGUAAGCGACCCGUCUUGAAACACGGACC
rnacentral:rRNA from 1 species